GCGCACGUAGGCGGAUCAGAAAGUUGGGGGUGAAAUCCCGGGGCUCAACCCCGGAACUGCCUCCAAAACUCCUGGUCUAGAGUUCGAGAGAGGUGAGUGGAAUUCCAAGUGUAGAGGUGAAAUUCGUAGAUAUUUGGAGGAACACCAGUGGCGAAGGCGGCUCACUGGCUCGAUACUGACGCUGAGGUACGAAAGUGUGGGGAGCAAACAGGAUUAGAUACCCUGGUAGUCCACACCGUAAACGAUGAAUGCCAGUCGUCGGGUAGUAUACUGUUCGGUGACACACCUAACGGAUUAGCAUUCCGCCUGGGGAGUACGGUCGCAGAUUAACCUCAGAGGAUUGACGGA
rnacentral:rRNA from 1 species